rnacentral:tRNA from 1 species
GCCUGGCUGGCUCAGUUGGUGGAGCAUGUGGCUGGUGAUCUUGAGGUCGUGAGUUCAAGCCCCACACUGGGUG